GGUGUCAUCUGGACAGUAACCAAAGAGGUAAAGACAGUAUCACAGGAACAGAUAAACUUAUUAAAGGAAGCUGUUGAUGAUGGUUAUGAGGAAAAUGCAAGGCCACUGCAACCACUGAAUGGAAGGACAGUAUAUCUCAAUCAACCAUAGGAACGUUGUUGCCGGUGCUGUUUAGGAAGUAUAUGUAUUGAGGGAGCUGAGUG